GCCAUCCUUCCGUGGUGGCUCAGAGAGCCUCCCACCUCCUGCUGCCUCUGCUCCCAGUAAGGACUGCCCUGUCCAUAAUGACUGAAGGAAGCAGUGCCAGCUCUAACCCACACUCUGCUCUGUUACCAGCUGUGCAGGGAGGAGAAAGGGCAGGCCCCAAGUGCAUCUUCAAGCUUUGAUUUGGGUGAGUCAGACACGUAUUUAUCUCUGAAAUUCUCCUCGGUGCCUGGGAAUGAAGUGUUUCUCCUCAUCUCAGAAGAAAGCGACGUGCUUUAAAUAACAGCAGUGCCAAAAAAGAAAAUAAAAGAAGCACGAUCCAUUACCUUCUCAUCCAUAAAGCAUCAGGGCCACAGGCACAGAGCAGUGCACGGUUUUGGCACUAGGGGACCCAGCCCUGGGAAAAUCGGCAAUGCAGGCACGGCUCUGGAACCUGCCAUCACUCCCACCCAUCCUUAUAAGCUCGUUGAGUGAGUUUUGUUUCCUUGAAUAAAAUUAAUAUUGAUGCACGAGAUUAAAAUGCAUUUCUAAGUAGCAGAUAAUUCCUGACUGGACAGAGCUGAGGGUGGUAAUGGUGCAGACCUGUCCUCCCUCCCAGUGCUGCAGAUCUCCACCACAGAUCAGCCCGUGGGACUGGGCCGUCACUGCAGUUACUCCAAGGCUUCUCCUGGGGGCUGCUCUGUGUCACAGAGGGGCACUGGGACACCUGCAGGGCACUGCAAAGUCACCUGUCCCCGCUGGCCCAGGGCCACAGCCCUGCUCAGAGCACCAGGAGCUGUGGGGAGGAACAACCCGAGGAAGAACACCCCCAGCAUCUCCUCACUGAACCUCUGUGAGUUUUCCUCUGAGUGCAAAGUUUAUCUUCUCAUUGAGGGGUUUGUGAGACCUGAGCCUGAGCCCACCAGGAUUUUCCAAUCAAGCACAGGCUGUUUCCACUCAGGCCACGGACCCCAAAACUUCCUCUGAAGCCACCACUGCUCUUCUUCUGCCACAGCUGCACAGCUCUGCCUCUGUUCCAGGGCAUCCUACAGACAUCAUUUCCUUUACAUUCCUUUAUGCUGAGAGAGCACUCUGUGAAAAAUUAUUUCAUCCUAUUUCGUGUUGCCUCUCCUGUUUAAUCUCUGCUUGAUGUGAGAGAUAGGUAUGGCUCAGCCUUUUAUCCAGCUAAGAUGAAGCUGCCAUUCCUUUCCUUAGCUCCUUCAGUUCAGACUUCCUCUCUGCAGCCAAAUCCUAGCCCAGGAGAGAGUUGUCCCUCCGGGGAAGGAGUGAGGAGCACAGAAGCAGUGACAUCUGCAGUGCAGUCAGCAAGGGGAGGAGAUGAGCCUGGGCUCAGGAGCAGGAGCCCUCCUUGAGUGCUGAAAUACAAAAAAUGAGAAAUGACUUUUUCUCUGCCUGGUCUGAGAUUUGACAGUGGCAUCCUCUGGGUGAGGGUAAAAUGCCCAAGGAGGUGUUUGUGUGCAGACAUUGCAAAACCCUGGGUGCAAGCAGCCCUCGAGGAGUGUGUUCCUUCCUGUGAGAGCUGGAGCUGUGAUCUGGCUGGGGCUCCCCAGGGACUGUGUCAGACAAGCUGCAGAAACCACGGGCCCAGCUGACCCACUUCUCUCUGGCUUGAGGAUAAAACCCCUCUGCUUUGGUAGCCCCAUCCAGCCUGGCUGGAAACAAUCAUUCCUGAGAAAACACGGGGGAACACUCACUUCAAAAAGUACUGCACAAAUCUGAAACUUCCAUUACCUAUCCAACCAUGAUUAAUGCACUUGGCUGUAGAAAUCAAUUGUGUUUUAAAAGCAAGUCAUGAAGGAGACUUCAUCCUUGUUUUCUCUUACAACUGACACGGCAGAUCAAAAUGCUGACACUACAAAUACUGCAUGACUGGGACCCAAACACAUGGAAUGCACUGAUUUAUUUCACUAACGGAGGACACCCAAGUACCAGGCUGUGGUUGUGUGGAGGCAGUCCAUGGCAUUCAGAACUUACAGCUCGUGUCAACCCCAGCCACUGCAUGAACAGCAUCAAGAGACAUUUACUGUGCUGCAUUUCAGAAUGGAAAUUCUGCUGUGUUCCAUUUCAGAAUGGAACUGAAAUGAAGUUAACCAUGAAAUGUGUGUAAUCUAAACUGCAAAAAUCCCUCCACCCUAAUGAUCUGUUCCCCAAAAGAAAAAUGUAAAGUGUUUAAAAGAUUUAGCAAAAUCUGUGCAUAAAUUGAAUAAAUCAUCAUGGUAUCAAUUAUAUCUUAAAAAUGGUGUUCAGCUCUUCUAACAUCAAGGACUGGUUUUAAUUAUGGCUUCAGUGUAACUAAUAUUUCCUUGAUUUUAAUGACUGUUGUCCUAUUAUAGGAUUAACUUGUGAUGAAGCUGAAGAAGCCAGAAUAAUUUUCAGUUUAAAGAAUUGCAAA